UAAAAAAUUAUUUAAACAAUAGAAUAUCCAACAAUCUCAGUUCCAUAAUUUUGUAUAAUUAUACAUAUAAUUUAACUUUACAACUUUUAAUAACACCAAAAAAAAAAAAUGCAAUCCAACACCGACCCAAUAGCAAAAUCUAUCAUUUGAUCUAAAAAAUUUUAAAAGAAAUGGAAAGCAAUAACUUCAAAAACAAAGAGGUUCUUAGUAACAUUAAUAUCCACAUCACAACUAGUGAUUUUUAAGGGUGCAUUGGCUUGUUGAU
rnacentral:lncRNA from 1 species